rnacentral:rRNA from 1 species
CCUGGCUCAGAACGAACGCUGGCGGCGUGCCUAACACAUGCAAGUCGAGCGCGAAAGGAGCAAUCCGAGUAGAGCGGCGCACGGGUGCGUAACACGUGGAUAAUCUGCCCUUGAAUUCGGGAUAACCUUCCGAAAGGUUGGCUAAUACCGGGUAAGCUCACGGUGACUUCGGUCGCUGUGGGAAAAGUAGACCUCUGUUUACAAGUUUACGUUUGAGGAUGAGUCCGCGGCCCCAUCAGCUAGUUGGCGGGGUAAUGGCCCACCAAAGGCUACGACGGGUAGCUGGUCUGAGAGGACGAUCAGCCACACUGGAACUGAGACACGGUCCAGACUCCUACGGGAGGCAGCAGUGGGGAAUUUUCCACAAUGGGCGAAAGCCUGACUGGAGCAACGCCGCGUGUGUGAUGAAGUUCUUCGGA